UCCCGCACCGCCGCCGGGUCGUCGUUGUGACGUCCCGCGCCGCCCCUCUGCACCGCCGCUGGAUCGUACUUGUGGUGUCCCGCGGCGCCGCUUGCCCGUCGAGAUUCCGCAACGUCCCGCGUCGGCACCACCACCAGACCGAUUGCUAGGGAAGUUGUCAUCCCGUCGCCGGUCUUCAUCGCCCGCUCAGAUCAAGGUUGGAUUAUUCAAGUACCGAAUUUGUAUUAUUCAGGUAGCAAAAAACUGAGCAAUUCAUUACCUAUCGUCUUGUGGACACCGUCACCUGUGUUCUCUGUGCACCGUGAGUUUUGUACGCGCUUUGCACCAUUUUUAUGUUGUUGCAAUCUCACGAUCCAAUGUUGCUUUGCGCACAUAGGAAUUUCUAUAACGUUUGAAAGCAUAUGGAUCCUCUAAAGAACACUAAAGGUAGUAUUCUUUGGACUCAAUUGGCAACAUUGCUGAGAUCGCUUCACGGUUUCUUUUCUCACCAAUGUUGAGGAUCCAUGAUAUAGAGUCGGGUAUUAUUGAAGAUGCCCGUCGUCUUAGAAGAGAACGAGGCAGAGUUCGUGCUGCCUUGAUGACAGAUGAGCAACGUGAAGAGAUAAAUAUGAAGCGGCGUGAGGCAUAUAAGAUGAAGAAGUGUCACGCACAGAACAAGGAAAAUGAUCCAGGUUUGAACCUGUUUGGGUUAACGAUCGAAGUGUUUGUGCCCAUCUUAUAUUGUGCGAGCUUAUAUUAUUAGUUAUUGAUUCAUCUGAUGUGGCUUUAAUCUCUCAAAGGUGCUGAUCUCUCAAGUGUGGAAACUGUAGCCUACUAUGGGAAGUCGACAAGAUAAUAUAGAAAGGAAAGUAAUUAAUUUUCGACCAUUGGUUAGCAUAUUGUUCCAUUUUAGUGUGUCAACUAUAAACAUAUUAUUUGGGUCAAUAGGGAUGAAAGAUUAGUUGAGAAAAUAUGGGCUCCCGAGCCACCAGAACCUAUUGCUCAGCAUGACAUGAAAGCAUGCAGUUCCCUUAUGUGGUAACCCUAGAUCAUGAAUUUCUACCUUAGGUUAUUCUUGACUAUUUUAUUUUCUGAAACAAAACAACACCCUUUCACUGAUGAGCCAAUCAUGCUUGCACACUGAAGCUUCUCUGUAGUAUCAAGUAAGUGCACAACUGCACACUGAAGCUGCCAUUACAUAGUGGCAUAAUGAUUGAGUUUCUCUCUAGCUUCCAGUGGUUCUUUCAUUGUAUUAAGUGAACACUGAAGUUUCCUUUACGGAUGAUGUCUCCUCUGUAUUAAGUAAGUGAGGUUGCUUUUUCACCUUUUGCUCCCCUUUGUUUUUUUUAGCAUGGCUUUAUAUUCUUCUUUUAUAGUAAGUCAGGUUCACAACAAUCUGUGCAUUGUUCACGAUUAUUUUUUAUUGGGGUAUGCUGUAUUACCUCAAGUGGAUCUCUAAAUUUAAUUUUCUAGAAGUUGUGUCAAUGAAGAGGGUCUCACUGAAUAUCUCCAACGGCUCUCUGAUUUUUUUUAUUUUCUGCAUUUGUAGGUUUAUGCUCUUUGUUACAUGAUUAAUGGCGCUUGUACUAUUGAAAUCACAGUAUUAGUCUCCAAAUAAGCUUGGCCAAGGCUGCACGAUCCCGUACCCUGGAAAGGUUUGUGACCCUCCCUUCCUCCUUCCCUCAUGUUCGCUUCAGGAAUCUUGUAGCCAGCUCCAGCACAGCCAAACAUAAACUUAGCCACUGAUCUCAAGAGGUAGCCCAACUUAAUUCAUGAAAAGGAAGUAACUCCUAUUACCAAUUUCAAGCUGUUUAUAAUUUGUAGUUAAAAAAUAAGGAUAUUUGAGUAUGAUGGUUGAUGUAAAGCUAUGGCUAACUUUUUCUUGGGAAAAGUUUGCUAUGCUCCAGGUGUUGAAGUUGCAUUUGUAUUCAGAAUUACUGAUGAAGAAUGAGUACUAACAUAUCAUUGCAAUGGUUUAGAAGUAUCUUUGCUGAUGGGAUGAUUGGGGGUUUUUUAUUCUUCUUCUUUUCUCUCUUUUUGAUUGUAUCUUUUCUGGACGAGAAGAUAUUGAGUGUUUUUGUUUCUCUAGGGAUUGCAUGAAUGAUUGGAGUUGCCAUUUGCUCUCCUGGAAUGUCGUAAAACCAUUACUAUUUUCAUCACUAAAGUAGUUUCUGAAGUUGUUAAUGAUCGUCUUGGUCUGGUAUAUGGUUAGUUGUGAUAUAGUGAGACUGCUAUUUUUUUAUAAUCACAGUGAAGAAAUAUCCGUCACUUUGAGCUA